GCAAACUUGGUCAUUUAGAGGAAGUAAAAGUCGUAACAAGGUUUCCGUAGGUGAACCUGCGGAAGGAUCAUUAACGUAUCUCUGGCGGCGAGGGCGCGCCCCGCUCCGGUCCCAGCGGCCGUGAAGCGGGCGCUCCCGAGCCUGCCCGACCCUUUGCAAACCCACCGUGCACUCAUGUCGGCGGAGGCCUCGCCCCCCCAAAAAGGGUGGGAAAGGGGCCCGAGCCGGAUCACAAACCCCAAGUGAAAGAAUGACGAGCGGACGUUGUGCCGCCUAAAACACGUAACAACUUUCAACAACGGAUCUCUUGGCUCUCGCAUCGAUGAAGAACGCAGC
rnacentral:misc_RNA from 1 species